GCGAAAAGCGCAGGGUUUUCUAACAAACCACGAGCAGACAUGAUGCCUUGGGUUUCUGUAUAUUUAGCAAUCUCAAGACCCUUACGGAGACUUUUAACAUCACCAUUUGCAACGACAGGAAUUUGGACACAUGGGCGAACUUCUCGAAUUGCAUCCAAAUUGACAGGGAAUGAAGAGCGAUCUUGCCGAGUGCGACCAUGAACAGUAAUUAUAUCAGCUCCAGAUUUUUCAAUGACUUGCAUCAGGUGCCGAGUUUUAUUUAAGUCUUUGGCAAUUCUUAUUUUGACUUCGGUACAGAAGCUUUCACCCAAGGUGGACUUGACCGCACGAACUAACUUAUGAACCUUUUCCGGCUCAUCCAACAAAGCUGACCCAAUUCCUUCCUGUAUUGCCCAUGUUUGAGGGCAACCACAGUUAAUUCCAAUACCAUCUACAUAGGGUCCAACAAGUUGUGCCGCCUUUUCCAAAAUUACUGGGUCAUCCACACCGAAUUGUAGAAUCAAGCUUGCAUCUGCAUCGUUUGUAGAAAAAUCAAAAUAACGUCCUUUAGGAUGUAAAAAUUCUUUUGCUAAAAUCAUCGGAGUAUACACUAUAUCAGUGUUAUAAUCUCUCACUAGUUGCCUGAAUGGUAACUUUGAAUACCGCACCAUUGGUGCCGCUAUGUGUACAGGGCGUUUCCCUUUAUUUAUUUCAAAUAUUUUUACAGGAUCCUUUAAACGAUCUCUCAUAUUUUUAUGAUGAAUUUUGGGUCACAGAGAUUUUGUUAGGAAUGUUGGCAAUUGCUAAAAUGUCCACGGCCAUUGACAGCAUAUGUGACAUCUACGCAGUUAUCGAAAUGUCGUUACCAUUGGUUUUAUUUCGCAAAUGAUAAAAUAAAAUGAAGCAAUUAGUUUUGCAUUAGUAUCUAAUUUGUUGAACGAGUAUGAGACUCUUUCGACACAAACACUAUUUACACUGGAGAAAGAAAAUUGAAAACCACAUAGAUUUGUAAGUCAAACAACAAACCAGUUGGCGUUUCUACUAUUCAAAAUUGUUACACUUGGUUAGAUAAAAUAUAUACAUUGAUUGGUAUUGAUUGACCAGAGAGAUCACGUAACUAAGAAACAGUGUCUGCUUCACUCUAAAUUGAUAGUUACCCAUGAACCCGCAGUUUAUUUUUUUAUAAAGAAAGGAUGCUUCAAAGCUACUUCAGGCGGUACGCGUUUCUCUGGAUUAAGCUCCAAACAUUUUUCCAAAAGAUCCAUAAGCUCUUGUCGAAUUAUAAAUUCCUCAUCAGUUGAAGUUGGGACUUCUUUUAAACGAGAUCGAAUGUCUUUGGUCGGCUUAGAGAAUUUUACAGGUUUCCUCGUUUCUUGAUUUGUAAUGGGGUCAUGAUCAAUUUGUAUGAAAUUGAAAUCCGCGUCGAAAUGGUCAUUUAAAAAUUGACUUCUUUUUAACAUUUUAUGACUGAACUUCCCCUUACAUUCCAUCAUAUAGCGAAGCAUCUGGUUAUUUGUUCGGCCAGGAAAUAGUAUUUGACCAGUAUACAACUCAUAUAAAGAACAUCCAACACUCCAUGUAUCUAUUGGACACGAAUAAGGAAAGCCUAAAACUAUUUUAAAGGUUAGAUCUUGAAAAAAGAGUACAAAAGUAAUGAGAAGAAGAAUUCAAUUUCCAUAUUUUUGGAAUUAUAAGCAAUUUGGCGUUUAUUUAGACUUACUGAUUUCUGGAGCACGAUAAAAUCGACUCACGAGGUACGGUGUUAUUUCAUUUUCAGAGGCAUCUGAAGCAGAACCAAGGUCACAUAUUUUUAAAAUAUUUCUUUUUUCGUUCACCAGCAUAUUGUCCGGUUUGAUAUCUGAAUGAAUUACGUUGCAUUGCUUCAACAAAUCCAAUGCCAUGAACAUUUGAUAGGCAUACAGACGAACAGCCUUUAUACUCAACCCAACGUUACGCCCAAAUUUUUUCAAAAUGUCCCGAAGAUUAAGACUUAACAUCUCAAACACCAUGCAAAGAUGAUUUUUGUGCAUGAAAUGCCUUUCAUAGUGGAUUAUGUGCUGCUUACCUUCACGAUCCGCUGCUUGCAGUCGCUCAAGAAUUGAUACUUCUUUGAGUCCCUCCUUAUACAUUACCUCAUUGUUUCUAAUUAUUUUUAUAGCGAAAGUUUGAUUUCUAUUCCGAUCCAAAGCACUGACCACCGUAGAGAACAUGCCUUUACCAAGGUUGGACUGAACGAUGUAACGAGAAUCCAAUUCCUCCAUAAGAACUACCUUAUAAUAACCUUCAAUAUCGUCCCAAUUAUCCUGCAUAUCUGCAAAACUCCUAGUUAGAGUGGAAAUACCUUUCCCAGUGUUUUGCCGCUUAACAGAAGGCGAAGGAGAAUCUGCAAACAUGUCAUCUUCAGUAUCUUCAAUUUGUACAGAAGAUUUGAUAGAGGGGGAAUCACUAGUAGUACUAUUAGUUACAUCAAGCUUAGUAUUAGAAUUAGAACCUUCUUUGUUAAUCUCAAUUUUAGAUGCAUUGGUUUUCAUUUUUGGUACAGCUUCGAUAGGUUUCGUUGUAGAGACUUGGUCGACAUCUUCUUUUAGCUUUUUCUCUGGAAUUGACAAAUCCGAAUGGCCAUUGCCAGUCUGUUGGUACUUCUUUAAAAUUUCCAACCUCCGUUUCCGUCUUUGCUGUAUAAUUUCAUCUUCUGCAAAUCUAUCGUCACUCAUUUUAAGUCUAUUGUAGUUCUUUACAAUAAAUAUGUAAUACGUCCAUAGAAGUAGGUGUUUGACGAAGUGCUUGCAAUGCCUGAUGAAAAGUACUUUUUCAAGACAAUAACACUAUUGUUUUUUACCAAUUAAGCCUCUUUUCUUUCUUUUUUUAAUUAAUGAGGCAUACAAAUGCAAAUUUCGAAUAAAAAUUCAAUAUAUUAGGAAUACGG